rnacentral:rRNA from 1 species
CGUACGCUGGCGGCACGCCUAACACAUGCAAGUCGAACGCAGUAGCAAUACUGAGUGGCAGACGGGUGAGUAACAUGUGGGAAUCUGCCUUGUGGUUCAGAACAACAUUGGGAAACCGAUGCUAAUACUGGAUAAGCCCUUACGGGGAAAGUUUUAAUGCCAUAAGAUGAGCCCGCAUUUGAUUAGUUAGUUGGUGAGGUAAUGGCUCACCAAGACAAUGAUCAAUAGCUGAUCUGAGAGGAUGAUCAGCCACACUGGGACUGAGACACGGCCCAGACUCCUACGGGAGGCAGCAGUGGGGAAUCUUGCACAAUGGAGGAAACUCUGAUGCAGCGAUGCCGCGUGAGUGAAGAAGGCCUUUGGGUUGUAAAGCUCUUUUGUAGGGGAAGAUAAUGACUGUACCCUAAGAAUAAGGUCCGGCUAACUUCGUGCCAGCAG